CUCAGGCUGACGUAGAGCAGGAAGAGCCCGGCCGUUUUCCGUAAAAUUCUUCCGCGGGCCGUGCAGGAAGGGCUGGCGGAGGGUCGGAGGAUUACGCUAAACGUGCAGCGUAGCGGCGCUUGGAGAAUACGGCCGUUCGGCCAGGCACUGGCUGCCCCCGUGGAGGAGACAAUAACGGCGGCGGAGGGGCCCGGCCGAGCAGUGGCUGUGGUGGGUCUGCGCGGGCCCGGUGGACUCGGGCCUCCCUCGCUGGUUGCCAGGAGGCUGUGGGCUCAGCGCCUGGGCAGCAGCGGGAAGGACAGCAGCCAUGAUGUCUGCUUUCUCCUGGCUGGGAGAAAAUGGCUCAAUGUGCCCCAAACGGGUUUUAAAAGGUAGUGUGUGUUGCUCCCUAAGAUGGCUUAUGGUCUUCUCUCUCCUUCUGGCAAAACUGAGAUUGAUGUGAGCAGUAUUAAUAAGUAAUUAUCUACAUGAGUUCUGUAUUCAAACACAAUCAGUAGAGCAUGCUCACCAAGUCCAGUGAUUACUCAGCUCAAACUUAGUCUGCAAGCAAUUGAAGAUGAAAAAAGAGGAAAAAAAUAUGGAUUAUUUCUUCUUCCUCUCGUGCAGGUACUCAUCUUUAUGACUACAAUGUGAUGUUUCACAGAAGUAAUCCAGCUUGACUUAAAAUCUAUUCUUUGUCUGUUAAUAAUACUCAUUUAAUGUAGUUUUCUCACCUCCAAAGGCCUCAGUGAUUGCCAUGCUUUCAAUCCCACCACCCAGAAGUUUGCUGCAGAAAGGAAGACAAUGAUGAUAUAGUUAAACCCACAAGAUUACAAGAGGAAAGUAAAGAAAAGAGAUUUUUGCUGCUUUAAGAAAAGUUAUAGCUGUCCUAAAGCAGGGCACUAAAUGACCACUGAUUGAUAAAAAGUUAAUCCAAUCUUCCUUACUGCAUGCAAGAGAAAAAUGUAUAGAAAUGAUUACUGGAAAGAAAGAAGAGAGAGAACAUCUUUGAAAGAUGAAGUUCCUUAAAAGUAUUUCAAGGGAAGUCUUGUAGACUUAACGAUUUUGACUGUAGGCUUUCAGGUUGCUUUAAUUAGGUGAAAAAAAUGAUGAUCAGUCAGGAUUUUUGGACACAAACUGUUUAUUUACAACGACUGCCUGAUUUCCCUCAGAAAAGGAGUUGGUUUUGUUGCUUACUGAUUCAGGCAUCUCUGAGCCAGCACUAGCUCCGAAUGCAAAAUAACCUGCAUGUCCUAACUGAAUAGUUGUUCUUUUAUAUUUUUGUUUCUCGUUAAAGACAGUAAAUAUGAUAAUCGGAAUAGUUUGUACUAGAGCAGGAUAAAAGCAGAAAUAAGCUUACUCAAAUUCCUGGCUGCCUGUAGUAAUGUGAAAUACCAUCUUCCGUUUUUCACUGUACUCAAACGCAGUUAGGAAGCCUGGCUCCUAAGGAAGACCAAAGAGAACACGAGAGGUUUACUAUGUUGAGCUUUAAGCUGAAGGCAGAGUGUGAUAUCCCAUCCAGAAAACUUCUGUCUACCCCAGCCUGAUUUACACACAUUGGGUAUGAAAAGCACCACAACAUUUGUCUGGUUGCUGUAAAAUACAAAGAAUAUAAGGAAUACUGAACUGGAUUAUUUUCAAAAUUAUCUUGAUGAUGUGGUGAAAAAUUCUAUAAAGAGAAAUGUUGCCUAGCAUUUUGGAGAUGGCAGCAUAAAUUUAAGUUAUCAAGAAAGCGAUUGGCUUACAAUAAGCUUAUUUGCAGCUUCUUUAAUCUUGUCCACUUUGACCUCUGAAAGCCCUUUUACAUUGCACAGUGCUCGUCUUGUUGUCAUCUGGAUUCCUUUGAUAGUGCAGAUCCCAACUGACUUCAGUUUUUUAAUAUCGGCCACGUUCUGUGAAGAAAGUUCCUUUCUUUGAGUACUCGUGACAGAUAACAGCUAGUUGGCAAAGUAAACCUUUGAAACACUUUGUUAUACAAUCAUAUGCACGUCUAUUUUCACAAAGAAACAUAUUUACAAAGUAAACUCUUCUUUAUGUAGUUUGUGACCCCCAAAUAUCAGAAAAGUUCGAGUCACAUCAGUGUGAGGGAUCAUGGUGCAGAUACCCUGGUGCUUCUGCAAGAAAGACAUGUUGGGUCUGGCUGUACUCAACCUGUCCCUGUUCAGUGCCAGUCUUUCUAGUUCCAAGCUGACAGUAAAGAAACAGAAUGGAUUAUUUCAGGUGUUGUGGAGCCUAACCUAAUAAACCCUGUCAAACUCAA